AAAGGCCGACCAGAGAGGGUGACAGUCCCGUAGUCGAAAACGCAGCGGAGGACCGACUUGUGAUCCGGAGUACCACCGGGCCCGAGAAACCCGGUGGGAAGCAGGGAAGACCACUUUCCAAGGCUAAAUACUCACUGCUGACCGAUAGUGAACCAGUACCGUGAGGGAAAGGCGAAAAGAACCCCGGGCAGGGGAGUGAAAUAGAACCUGAAACCGUCUGCCUACAACCAGUCGGAGCACAGCGCUCGCAAGAGCCGUGUGACGGCGUGCCUUUUGCUUAAUGAGCCGGCGAGUUCAUCAGGGGAGCGAGGUUAAGGAGAUUCCGGAGCCGAAGCGAAAGCGAGUCCGAAGAGGGCGACAGAGUUGUCCUGAUGAGACCCGAAGCGAAGUGAUCUACCCAUGGCCAGGGUGAAGCGCGGCUAACCCCGCGUGGAGGCCCGAACCGGUGCCUGGUGCAAAAGACUCGGAUGAGCUGUGGGUAGGGGCGAAAGACUAAUCAAACUUCGUGAUAGCUGGUUCUCCUCGAAAUCACUCUAGGGUGAGCCUUGCGUGAAUCCUGUCGGAGGUAGAGCACUGAAUGGACGAGGGGCCUUCACCGGCUACCGAAUCCAACCAAACUCCGAAUGCCGACAGAGAAUGCGCAGGAGUUAGACUACGGGUGCUAAGAUCCGUGGUCAAAAGGGAAACAGCCCAGACCGCCAAGUAAGGUCCCCAAUCCAUGCUUAGUGGGAAAGGAAGUGGAUAUCCAGAGACAGCCAGGAGGUUGGCUUAGAAGCAGCCAUCCUUGAAAGAGUGCGUAAUAGCUCACUGGUCGCAGGUAUCCGGCGCCAAAAUGGUUCGGGGCUAAGGGGUCGACCGAAAGGGCGGCUCGGGUCCAGAGGGGUCCGGGGGGAGGGGAGCGUCCCCUGUGGGGGGAAGCGGGCCGGGAGGCCGCGUGGACUGCUGUGGAGUGCGAAUGCCGGUAUGAGUAGCGAAAAGGGGCGUGAGAAUCGCCCCCGCCGAAAGCCGCAGGGUUCCGGAGGCAGGAUCGUCCGCUCCGGGUUAGUCGGACCUAAGGCGAGGCCGUCAAGGCGUAGUCGAUGGAGACACGGUGGAGAAUCCGUGACCUCGACGCCGUGGCGAACGGCUCGGGACAGGCUCCGGGUGGGGAAGCGCCCCGUUGGUUGUGGGCGUCCCGCACGGGGGACGGAAGACGAGUACGGAAGUCGACCAUCGGGAGCCUCGAGAAAAGCGAGUCGGGAGCGGCGUCGAGUCCGUACUCAAACCGACACAGGUCGGCGAGGCGAGGAGCCUCAGGCGCGCGAGUGACCUCUCGUUAAGGAACUCGGCAAAAUGCCCCCGUAACUUCGGGAGAAGGGGGCCCGGCGGCAGCCGCCGCCGGGGGCAGCAAAGCGGCCCAAGCGACUGUUUACCACAAACACAGGUCCCUGCGAAGUCGUAAGACGCCGUAUAGGGGCUGACGCCUGCCCGGUGCUGGAAGGUUAAGGAGCGGGGUGCAAGCCCCAACCCGAAGCCCCAGUCAACGGCGGCCGUAACUAUAACGGUCCUAAGGUAGCGAAAUUCCUUGUCGGGUAAGUUCCGACCCGCACGAAAGGCGUAACGACUUGGGUACUGUCUCAACGAGAGACUCGGUGAAAUUGCAAGCCCUGUGAAGAUGCAGGGUACUGACGACUGGACAGAAAGACCCCGUGGAGCUUGACUGUAGCCUGCUAUGGGUCGUUCGGGCCGCGUGUACAGGAUAGGUGGGAGGCAACGAAGCGGGGGCGUCAGCCCCCGGGGAGCCAGCCUUGGGAUACCACCCUCGCGGCGUGACCGAUCUAACCGUCCGCGCCACCCGCGGCGGGACAGUGGCAGGGGGGCAGUUUGACUGGGGCGGUCGCCUCCCAAACCGUAACGGAGGCGCCCCAUGGUUCCCUCAGCACGGUUAGACAUCGUGCAGGGCGUGCAAAGGCACAAGGGAGCUUGACUGCAAGCGGGACACCGCGCGCAGAGCCGAAAGGCGGGCUUAGUGAUCCGGUGGCUCCGAGUGGCAGGGCCAUCGCGCAACGGAUAAAAGCUACCCCGGGGAUAACAGGCUGAUCUUCCCCAAGAGUCCAUAUCGACGGGAAGGUUUGGCACCUCGAUGUCGGCUCAUCGCAUCCUGGGGCUGGAGUCGGUCCCAAGGGUUGGGCUGUUCGCCCAUUAAAGCGGUACGUGAGCUGGGUUCAGAACGUCGUGAGACAGUUCGGUCCCUAUCCGUCGUCAGCGUAGGAUUCUUGCGGGGGGCUGCUCCUAGUACGAGAGGACCGGAGUGGACGAACCGCUGGUGUGCCCAGUUGUGCUGCCAAGCGCAGCGCUGGGAAGCUAGGUUCGGGACGGAGAAGCGCUGACCGCAUCUAAGCGCGAAACCGGCCCCAAGAUGAGGUAUCCAGUCCCCGGCCGUCCGGCCGGGGGCGAAGACCCCCGACAGACCAUCGGGUGGAUAGGCGGACCGUGGCAGUCCCGUAAGGGAUGGAGCGAGUCCGUACUAAUCGGUCAAGAUCGGUCGUCC
rnacentral:rRNA from 1 species